rnacentral:rRNA from 1 species
UUCCCUACGGGACGCAGCAGUGGGGAAUAUUGCACAAUGGGGGAAACCCUGAUGCAGCGACGCCGCGUGAGUGAAGAAGUAUUUCGGUAUGUAAAGCUCUAUCAGCAGGAACGAGACAAGACGGUACCUGACUAAGAAGCCCCGGCUAACUACGUGCCAGCAGCCGCGGUAAUACGUAGGGGGCAAGCGUUAUCCGGAUUUACUGGGUGUAAAGGGAGCGUAGACGGCAUAGCAAGUCUGAAGUGAAAGCCCAAGGCUCAACCAUGGGACUGCUUUGGAAACUGUUAAGCUAGAGUGCUGGAGAG